AGAUUAAAUAUGUUUUAAAGACAUGUGUUUGGGUGUGAAAGUCACAGGGUGUGAAAUUUGAUCAUUAACCUUUACUGCUCAACAAACAGGUUAUCCUAGCAGUUUAUGAAAACAUGCUUCUAGAAUUGUGUGGAUGGGUCAUGGAAUUGUGACCUUCAGUAAUUUUUGUGGGCUCUGACACCUCCCCUUCUGGUACUGUUCCCUAGUUCUGCCUCCUGACCACCAUGAACUGAGCAGCUCUGUGCCUCCAAGACCUCCCAUGAUGUUUCUGCCUUGGAACCAGCCUAUUAUAGACUGAAAUCCUGAGUUUUCCUUGCAGUUGUGGUUGUUGUAGCAGCAACAUGACAAGCAAGUGGAAGAGGGCCUUGCUGUGAGGAUCUUCACCAGGUCACAGGAGGAGACGCAUCCUGUCAGCAAAGGGAGCAGCUCAAAAUCUGCCAGAAAUCAAGGUGAG
rnacentral:lncRNA from 1 species